UUCCUUGUGGUCCAGUGGUUAGGACUUGGUGCUUUCACUGCUGUGGCCUAGGUUCAAUCCCUUGUCAGGGAA
rnacentral:tRNA from 1 species